UAGGGAAUAUUGGACAAUGGGCGCAAGCCUGAUCCAGCCAUGCCGCGUGGAGGAAGAAGGCCCUCUGGGUUGUAAACUCCUUUUAUCGGGGGAUAAACGACCGCUAUACGCGGUCCUGAAGGUACCCGAAGAAUAAGCACCGGCUAACUCCGUGCCAGCAGCCGCGGUAAUACGGAGGGUGCAAGCGUUGUCCGGAUUCAUUGGGUUUAAAGGGUGCGUAGGCGGCCCUGUAAGUCAGCGGUGAAAUCCCACGGCUCAACCGUGGAAUUGCCGUUGAUACUGCGGGGCUGGAGUUCGACCGAGGUCGCUGGAACGCGUAGUGUAGCGGUGAAAUGCUUAGAUAUUACGCAGAACACCGAUUGCGAAGGCAGGUGGCUAGGUCGCGACUGACGCUGAGGCA
rnacentral:rRNA from 1 species